rnacentral:lncRNA from 1 species
GAGCACCCCAAACCCCGUCAACACCUGCAUCUACGGAGACCCGUGACAGAGUGGGCAGAUCUCCUGGCCUGGGGCGCAAGUGCCCAGGUUGAGUGGUGAUGGAGCUGCCCCUGCCCACGCCCUCACCCGGCAGGUGGACACUGAAUGGUGGGGGCACCCAGCACGUGCACGCAGUGCCAGCACUGGAGCUCCACACAGCAGGGACUUGAAGAACAAGCAGAAAUGGAAGGAACUUGUGAUAGAGGAGCAAUGAUGCCAACACAGGAAAUACCACAUUUUGGAAGUUCACAUGAUUGAGUCAAUGUCACCCUAAAUCACUUUGGCACGGUGUUAAAAACCCACUUUCUCAGCUGAAGAUUUUACUUGGAAGAAGAUCAUCAAUAUCACCUUGACCUUCUCAGGGCCA